UACAGUUUACAGCACCUGGUAUUCCCAGGUGAUCUCCCAUCCAAGUACUAACCAGGCCCAGCACUGCUCAGCUUCCGAGAUCGGGCGUGCUCAGUGUGGUAUGGCUGUAAGCCAUGUAUGUUUAGUGGUGUGGUAUAUUCAUUAGUCGUUGAUGCUGUGUGUAGGACAACCUGUCUCAGGCUUGGGAGGCUCUGAAAGACUAUCGGUGGGCGGUCCAAGGAGCUGUCAGAUUCCUCGACGAUGCGGAGCCCAGGCUGCUGUUGGACCUGAGCGGCACCAGAGACUGCCAGGAGGAGAUGAGGGCCACUCAUCAGACCGUAGCUGCCCUCAGGGAUAGCUUCAAGGCUCAAGUGGACCGGCUAGGAAACCUGGUGCCCAAGCAGACUUGCUUUUCCACUGUGGAAACUCAGCAGCUUCACAUCCAGAUCUUAAGUCUGCUGUUGGUGAGAGAGGCCAUGCUGGAAGCCCAGGGCCAGCUAAGGAUGGAGGCUUUGAAGAGGUACAUUAAAAACAUUAUUUGAAUGUUCGUUUAAAAACUUUGAAAGUUGAAUUUUGUGAAGUUUUGGAAGUUUAAUUAAGUGAGGUGGUUAGAUGUUUUUAAAGAAAGCUCAAUGAAAGGUAAUUUGCCGGAAUGAUUGCUAAAAUGUCCAGAGACUAAUGGUCUAAUAAACCGCUGCUUCUACUAGCUGUUCCGGGAAGGGAACACACUUUGAUUAAUGGACAUAAUGGUGGAUGUAUUUUCAAAAACUUUGAACUUUAUAGUGCUUAUUCAUUCCUAUAUAAAUAAAUAUUUUUCCCUCCACGUAGGUACGUUGAAGAGCAGAGUAUUCACAAGAAGCAACACUUGGAGAUUCAUGAAGUUUUUCAGAGCUUCGAAUCUCGUCUGAAUGAGUGCCUUUUGCAGAAAGCUACUUCAUUUAAAGAAUGCUUCGAACAGCAGGAGAAGGCCAAGGCCAUGCAAGAGGAGGUGUGGUGCCUGGCUGGCCGGCUGGAGCGGCUGAGAGGGGGCUGCCUGGCGCUGGGCUGCGGGGUGCCGGUGGAGCAGGGCCUGGCCCUGCUGUGGCGGCGGUGGGCCGGACUGAAGCGGCGGGUGGGAGUGCUGAGAGCGCACUUGGUGCAGAAGGACCAGGAGUGGAAAGACGCGGCCCAGAGUAUGGAGAGAUCCAGACUCGCCCUGGGGAGGCUGAGCGGGGAGCUGCCCGAUCCCGCUGCAGUGAGGUGUUCCCUGGAGGACCUGCAGGCCGUGCUGACGCUGUCCGAACACCAGCAAGAGGGGCUGGACCACGAGCAGAAGGCCCUAGCCUCCUCCCAGGCCCUUGUUGUCCGACUCCUCGGCCCCCCCUCACAACGGGACCCUGGGGAACCCAUCCAGAUCUGCGAGGAGCUGCAGAACCUCCAGAGCCACUGCAGGAGGUAGGAAAACUUGCGAACACACUUAGUCUCUGA
rnacentral:lncRNA from 1 species